rfam:Nautilia profundicola AmH, complete genome.
GGGGACAUAGCUCAGCUGGUAGAGCGCCUGCCUUGCACGCAGGAGGUCAGGGGUUCGACUCCCCUUGUCUCCA